AUAUAGUAUAUAUAUAAAUUAUAAUUAAUUAAAUAUCUAAUAGUAAAAAAAAAAAAAAGUAAAAUCAUUGCUUAAAUAUUAGUGUAUAUAUGAAUUUUAUAGCUGAGGAAUAGAGUUAGUUAUUUAUUUUUAUAAUAGGAAUAUAUAUUAGAAUUAGUUAAGUUUGUGCCAGCAUCUGCGGUUAGACUAGGAAUUUGAUUAGUAUUUUUUAGGGUUUAUGAAAGUGAGGAUUUAAAGAAUAUUUUUGGUGAAAUAAUAGGUUUGAGGUUUAUUGAUUAGGAUAAUUAUGAUAAUUUUGGUGAAAGCGGGAUUAGAUACCCUGUUAUUUUAAAUUUGUUUCCUCUAAGGAUUAAAGUUAAAUUUAGAAGAUUUGGCGGCUGAGAUAAAUUAAAGGAGUUUGUUUUUUAUUUGAUGUGACUCAUUAGGUUUUACUUGUUUUAUUUAGUAUACCGUCAUUUAGAUAGUUUGUAAUUAAUUAACUAUUGUAAAGGGCUUAAAAAAAUUAGAUCAAGGUGCAGAGAUAGAUAAGGAUAAAUUAACUACAAUAAGAUAAUAUUAGACUUGUCUUUUUUAAGUUAAAAUUGUAGGUGGAUUUAAUUGUAAUUAGAGUAAGAUGAAAUUUAUUUCAGUGUACAAAUUGCCCGUCAUUCUCUUUGAGACAAGUCGAAACAAAGUAGGGCUAUCGGAAGUUGGACCUA
rnacentral:rRNA from 1 species